rnacentral:rRNA from 1 species
AUUGAACGCUGGCGGCAGGCCUAACACAUGCAAGUCGAGCGAGCGGCGGACGGGUGAGUAAUGUAUGGGGACUUCCCGAUAGAGGGGGAUAACUACUGGACACGGUAGCUAAUACCGCAUACUAUCGGAUAACCCAUAUGGGAUUAGCUAGUAGGUGAGGUAAUGGCUCACCUGGGCGACGAUCCCUAGCCGGUCUGAGAGGAUGGUCAGCCACACUGCGACUGUGAAACGGCCCAGGGUCCUACGGAGGCAGCAGUGGGCACUAGUGCACAAUGGGCGCGAGCCAGAUGCAGCCGUGCCGAGUGUAUGAAGAAGGCACUCGGGUUGUAAAGUACUGUCAGUCGGGAGGCGUUACCGACAGAAGAAGCGCCGGCUAACUCCGUGCCAGCCGCCGCGGUAAUUC